GACGAACGCUGGCGGCGUGCUUAACACAUGCAAGUCGAACGAUGAACCCGGAGCUUGCUCCCUGGAUCAGUGGCGAACGGGUGAGUAACACGUGGGCAACCUGCCCCAGACUUCGGGAUAACGCUUCGAAAGAGGUGCUAAUACCAGAUACGAACUCCUUGGGCAUCCUUGGAGUUGGAAAGUUUUUCGGUCUGGGAUGGGCCCGCGGCCUAUCAGCUUGUUGGUGAGGUAACGGCUCACCAAGGCGACGACGGGUAGCCGGCCUGAGAGGGCGACCGGCCACACUGGGACUGAGACACGGCUCAGACUCCUACGGGAGGCAGCAGUGGGGAAUAUUGCGCAAUGGGCGAAAGCCUGACGCAGCAACGCCGCGUGAGGGAUGACGGCCUUCGGGUUGUAAACCUCUUUCAGCAGGGAAGAAGCGAAAGUGACGGUACCUGCAGAAGAAGCACCGGCUAACUACGUGCCAGCCGCCGCAGUAA
rnacentral:rRNA from 1 species